rnacentral:rRNA from 1 species
GUGGGGAAUAUUGCACAAUGGGGGAAACCCUGAUGCAGCGACGCCGCGUGAGUGAAGAAGUAUUUCGGUACGUAAAGCUCUAUCAGCAAGGAAGAAAAUGACGGUACUUGACUAAGAAGCCCCGGCUAACUACGUGCCAGCAGCCGCGGUAAUACGUAGGGGGCAAGCGUUAUCCGGAUUUACUGGGUGUAAAGGGAGCGUAGACGGUAUGGUAAGUCAGAUGUGAAAGCCCGGGGCUCAACCCCGGGAAUGCAUUUGAAACUAUCAGACUAGAGUGCAGAAGAGGUAAGUGGAAUUCCUAUUGUAGCGGUGAAAUGCGUAGAUAUUAGGAGGAACACCAGUGGCGAAGGCGGCUUACUGGACUGUAACUGACGUUGAGGCUCGAAAGCGUGGGGAGCAAACAGGAUUAGAAACCCCGGUAGUCC